ACACCAUCGUCAGCUAGCAUAAGCUUUCUCCUCUGCAUACUUCACAAAGCAAGCACAACUGCACACGUUCACUCUAUCAGCGACAUCCCCGCCACACACCCCUCGCCCUCCCUCUCCUCACCGCCCCCUCCCCCACCCUACGCCCCUACCCACCAUCAUGUCUGAGAUCAAAUACGAGAACGGCCAGCCCGGCUACAGCGGCAACACCGUGGUGAAGUGCUUCAAGGACAACGGCAACGGGCUGCUGUUCCGCAUCGUGAACGACGAGGAGCACAAGUGGGCGUUCUACAACGACACCACGAACUACCAAAUGCUGGUGAAGGUCGCGUUCGGCAAGGACAGCAAGAUCGAGGCCAUCGGCAACACUACAAUGCAAAAAGACGAGGAGUCUGGCGAGUUCAAGUGCGAGCUGGAGAUUGCGCCGACGACGACAGAGAUGUUCAUCGAGGGCGAGCCGAACGGCUUCAAGAUCAGCUUCGAGGCUAACCCGAUUGCGAAGGCGUGAGGGGGCACCUUUGAGCGGGCAACGCGAGGCAGCUACGGACAUGUAGAGAGAGGAGGUAAGGGCGUGCGCAGUGGCGUUUACAUGGUGUUUGUGUGCGCGGUGCUCAUCGACUUUGUUCUGUCUUCCUCUACUUUCUCUGACGUCUCGUCUCUUCACGGCGGUGAGGGAGGAGAAGGAGGAGAAGUGCCCCGGAGAGUCGAGCGCACGACGAUGCGCAGAUAGCGGAAAGGCGAGUGCCCCCCCCCCCCACCCCUUUGGGCGUGUCUGGUGUGCCGGAGACUCGCUCGCCCUCUUUCUCCCUCUCUGCACGUUGCCUGCUCGUGUUCCUGCUCCCAUCCUUUUCGCCGAGCACGCUUGUAUGUAUAUAUGUAUAUACAUACGUGCAUGUAUAUGCGCGUGUGUCUGUGUGUGUGUCUGCGUGCUUACCUGCUUGCUCUGUCCACUCGCCCCCCGCCCCCCCCUCUCUCCACCCCCGCGUCCGCACCCACAUCGGCAUCUCUGCCCCCUUUUGUUGUUUUUGUUUCUGCCUCAGUGCGUGUUUGGAUGUGUGUGUGUGUGUGUGUGCUGUGCUCUCUCUCUUUCUUUCCAUCUUCAUGUGCGUCUUUUUUCUUUUCAUCCUUCUCCACCCGGAUCCCAUUAGACAACGCCACCACCGCCACCACUCUCUCUCUCUUGCGCUUACUCGACCCUCCCCACCUCACCCCACCACCGCCACCACUCUGUCCUCUUUCCAGCUGUAGUUCUCGCGUAUGUGGACUUGUGUGUAUCCAUGUAUGUACGUAUGUAUAUAUGUAUGCAGGUAUGUAUGUGUAUGUUUACAUGUACGGUUGUUGUUCGCGUACGUUUUUCGUGCUUCUCUGUAUUCAACUGUGCGCUUUUCUCUCUGUGGAUGUGUGUGUAUAGGUAUAUAUGUGUGAUGAACGGCCGAUCUGCCCCCCUCCUCCUCCUCCUCCCGGCCUCCCUCUUUCUCUCCAUCCCUUCUUCGGAAGAAGCCCGCGCAUUUUUCGUUGCUUGCCGCGGGCGCCUGUAAGACUCACAAGGGCGGCAGAGAUUGUAUGCAAGGGUGAGGCGACAGGGAGGAGGCGGGAAAGGCAGAGGGAGCAGUCGCAAAACAAGUGGGCGGUACAGCGCACGUCCUCCGACGCGCAUGUUACAUACACGCUCUGCACCUCUCAAGGCCCACCGACGCACACAUACAUACGCAAACACACACGCAGUGUUACUGGCACAUGCGAAUAUGUAGAGAGCGCCGCCGUUGCAGCAGUAACACCUGUCCACUGACCCCGUAGACAAAGGCAACUGAGGGAAUGAGAAGGCCGCCUCUUCCCUUGAGGCCCCUUUCUUCCUUUCAUUUUCUCUCAUUCUUUCCUUCUUUCCUCACCCUCCCCAUAGUCUUCGUGCGUGUGUGUGUUUUGUAGGUGUGUAUGUGCAGAGCGGUAACGGUGCAAGUGGGCGUUCAUCAUGCGUGUGGAUCAUGUACUCCCUUCUCUAUCUCUUUAUCUCUUUUCUUUUACCUUGUGUGUGUGUGUGUGUGCUUUCGCGGUGUUGUUGUCAUGCUGCUCGGGCCUCGUGCACGCGGUCCUCCUCUACUCCUCGUUCCCACCCUCCUCUCCCUCGUGUUCGCUCCUUUCGCUCCCCCUUCUCCGCAUGUGCGCAUCUCUGCUCUGCCCUGCCCCUCUCUUUCUUUUUCCGUUGGGAUCGGGAAAGCUUGGGUUGGGUUGGGUCGCCAAGGACGCCACUCUCACGCUUCCCGGUUCUGAUACAAUGGGCUCGCGAGAGAGACACGAAGCAACAAGAAAUAGCGAAGGACUGAAGGAUGCUUGCACGGAACGAACGAAGGAAAGACGGACGCGGCAAGAGAGGUGCCCUCGCACCCCCACCCACCCACUUCACUCUACACACCACUAACACCCCCAUCGCGGCCUCACGCCAUCGCUGGCCCCUUUCGCAUUUCCUG
rnacentral:misc_RNA from 1 species